UGGGGAAUUUUGGACAAUGGGCGAAAGCCUGAUCCAGCAAUGCCGCGUGUGUGAAGAAGGCCUUCGGGUUGUAAAGCACUUUUGUCCGGAAAGAAAUCCUUGGCUCUAAUACAGUCGGGGGAUGACGGUACCGGAAGAAUAAGCACCGGCUAACUACGUGCCAGCAGCCGCGGUAAUACGUAGGGUGCAAGCGUUAAUCGGAAUUACUGGGCGUAAAGCGUGCGCAGGCGGUUUGCUAAGACCGAUGUGAAAUCCCCGGGCUCAACCUGGGAACUGCAUUGGUGACUGGCAGGCUAGAGUAUGGCAGAGGGGGGUAGAAUUCCACGUGUAGCAGUGAAAUGCGUAGAGAUGUGGAGGAAUACCGAUGGCGAAGGCAGCCCCCUGGGCCAAUACUGACGCUCAUGCACGAAAGCGUGGGGAGCAAACAGGAUUAGAUACCCUGGUAGUCCACGCCCUAAACGAUGUCAACUAGUUGUUGGGGAUUCAUUUCCUUAGUAACGUAGCUAACGCGUGAAGUUGACCGCCUGGGGAGUAAGGUCGCAAGAUUAAAACUCAAAGGAAUUGAC
rnacentral:rRNA from 1 species